UGUACUUUUACAGAUAUUUCUCCAAAUUAGCUUUAAGUGAGUAGAAUUCUCUCUCAUCAAUAUGUGAUGAUCUUAAUAGGAAUAUGUGGUCAGAAUCCAGUACAAUAAACAAAAAAAUCGCAAAAUCAACAUUUAAAAUGUCAGCAGCUUCUUACUGCUACACACAUCUUUGCAUUACUCGUGAUUAAAACUGGCAUGUGUAUUAGCAGGAAUUUUCUGUCUCAUUUUUAAUUCCUCUGUUUAUUUAUAAUCUAGAAGAAAUACUUCUUUUGGGGACUUACUUUUAUCUCCAAUGCUCUUUGAUACCCCACACCAUUGAUUUUAGAAAAUAUUUGGAAUAGUUGUUUACUAUAAUAAGUGAUUUUGAAAAGAUAUUAAAAUGUAGUGGAAAGAUCAUUUCCAUUUGUUUUCUUUGUCUGUGUGGGCUGGUGUGUAUAAAUGUUGCAUGAAUAUUAAUAAAUGUCUAUUCACAUUAAUGUUUUUGUGGGCUACAAACCUUUAAAAUGCUUCUAUCCUGAGAUACAUGCUCAGCAUAUGAUGAAUGAUAUACCAUUUAUUUAGUUCCCAGUGUCUAGGAAAGAUUAUAAAGCCUCACACAGACUCAGCCCUAUAAGAAGGGCUUCAGCAUGUACUAUGGCCAAUCAUUUAUUUACUCUAAUGUAUGGUGAAGUUAUUGAGGAAAAAAAUCUCAGAUAUAACACAUAGAUUUCCACACGCCAAUAAAAGGGAAUAAAAGAGAGGGUAACUAUGGUAAGUGGAAAGAGUAAAUGUUCUAAAGAAAUAUUCUUACUGUUUGCUGGGGAUCUGGUGUCCUUUUUAAUUAUAUUAAUCUGUAGUUAGCCCUAGAUGUUGAAACACAGCUUUCUCCUAUUUGAUUUGCUUAGAAAUCUCCUUUGGAAGAACUACCACACCACUGCUACUAUAUAACUGUACUAUAGCUCACUAAUGUCCUUGGUGUGUUUGCACAGUUAAAAGUUAUGUAUAUUUCAGGUAAUGGAAGGCAACCCAAUAUGUCUGGUUAAGAAGCCACUUCCUCAGGAUGUGGAGCUAUGAAUUCACUGGAAUAGGAGAGCAAUCAGAAUCAAACACCUAGAAAAUAAGACUGCAGAAUUGGAGUAAUGCAACAAGAGCAAAUGACUUAUGGUGGUUGAGGGAAGUCUUACUGGAGUCAAAAGUCUGAGAAAAAUGAAUGCAUGCAUUGGCCAAGAAGCAGUCAAGUAUUAAAGGACCUCAUCUAGGAAAAACAAUCUUCCAGAUUGUGAGCUACACUAUGGAGAGACCCAUGUGACAAGGAACUGAUAAUUCUGUCUGAUAGCCAGUGAGGACCUGGGGUAUGAUAGCAGCCAUCUGAGUGAAGCUGGAAGUGCAUUUUUGAGACUUCCCAAAUAGACUGAGCUUGGAAAUAGAUUCUUCUCCAGUUGAGCCUCGAGUUGACUGCAGUCCCUGCCAAUACCUUGGUUGUAGCCUUGUAGGAUACCUUGAAUCAAAGGUAUCCAGCUAAGCUGUGCCCAGAUUUCUGACCUACAGAAAUGUCCUUAAGGUGUGAUGUGAAUGCUUCUGGUGGUGAUGGAAGACAUUGGCCAUGCUCCUCCACCUCCAGAGAAUUGAGAAGCCUGGGAAUUGCUUAAAUGCACAUGGAAAUGAUAAAACCACAUGCAGUAGAAAAAGACAGCGAAGACACAGGAAAAGAUGACAGUCCAAGCCAGUGUAGACUUUACGGAGAUCAUAUGAGAGAAGGUAAGAGAGAGCUACAGAGUGUGUUGUCUAGAAUAUACAUGGCAGGGCCUUGAUUGGUCACUGAUGCGUGGGGGGUGUGGAAGCCCAGAGAUAUUCAAACUUUUAAAAUUCUCUUUGACCACACUCCCAGAGAAGCAUAUGUGCAUGGGGUUUUCAGGGCUAGGCUGUCACAGCACUUCAUGUAAAGCUGUAUCUUUUCUGUCACAUAGUCAGUAAAGAGUAGGUAGAACGAGAGGUGGGCAUUUGGGGCCAGACUGAGAGAAUUUAUUCAGUCAGAGAACAUGUAGAUACAUAUAUAUCUGAGUACAAUAUAAGGCCUUUGGCUUUACACCUACAGUUAAGAUUUAAAGGACAGAGUUAACCAAAGGAUAUCAGGCUCCCAGAUAGAGGCUCCCUGCUGUGUCCUUCUACUGCACAGAAAACCAGAUUAUGAGUCUGCUCAUCAGAUUGUAUACUAUGCAAGCUCAGGGAUAGUAUAGUUUUCUCUACGUCUAGAGAUGAAAGUCUCCAAGUCCUGGGUCCACUUUCCUAGACUCUAGGUUUUUUGGUUUCUUCAAUAUCAGAAUACAGCCAAAAGGUUGUGUUAUGGCUUAUUUCUCAUGUCUUCGGUGCCAAGGGUUUUGUUUCUCUGUUGAAUUCAGAGCAGUGCAAUGACAGUGUAAGAAGAGUCUUCUAACAGAGUGCCCAGUGACAGCCCAGUGGGGGCUCAGGGACUUUUGAAAAUAGUUUGCCAGUGUUCUGGGAGGUAACUGAGAAGACAAAAAAAUGGGAGAUCACAGUGGAUAGAGGACUCAAGGUCAGGAGAAGCAUAUUUCCCUCCCUACCAUUGACCUGCCUCCUUUAAUAAUUUGCACUUCACAUUGGGUGUUAUUUAUGUCAUCAAAUACUGACAGUUCAAUUAUUAAUAAAUGUUUAGAUCAUAUCAGUAUAAUUGUGAAGUGAGGUAGAUCAUAAAUUUGCUAUCUUCAUCCCUUUAUAUUUUGAGGUAUAUAUAGGAUGCUGCAGUUGAUCACAAGGAAACACAGAUGAUUAAAAUAAACUUCCUGAAGUCUGAAAUAAAAGGGAAGGAAAUAGAGAUUUGCCUUCUGACAUGAUAGUAGGAUAAUAAAGGUAUGGAAAGGGUGCAGAGAAGGAGUGCUUGUGGGGGCAAGAGAAGCCGUCCUAGGACAGGUGAACAUUCCUUACAGAAAAAUUCACCUGUGUAAAUUUUAAGGUCCUAUUGGCUUUAUUCAGCAAUUUGCAAGUCAAGCAAUAUCCAAUCUAGUACAUAGAAUGGUGCUCCAAGGAGUUGUCCAAGGAGACAGAUUUUUACAGAAUGAAGUGAGCAGGCACAAGGAAGUUCUACUGGACAUUUGCUGAUUGGGUAAAGCAGGGUUACUUUCCAUUUAUGGAGCAAAGGACUGUCUUGGAGUUGGUCAGGUAGCUUGUUCUCAGUGGGCAAGUGGUUGACCUAGGCCUUCCUUUUCUGGGAGAGCCCAGCGGUUAAAUUUUGGUUUGCUGAUGUAAGGGCUGAGCAUGAGUGACUCCAUGUUGGCUCUAAUCUGGCCACUUUAGCAUGUUAAAUGGUCUUGAAUAGCUUCUAGCUCUUGGAAAAGCAGGGGAAUGUGAAAGAGCACGAAGCAAGUAGGCAAAUGUUUUACUACUGCUAUUGUAGUGGAUAUGGAUGGUGAAAGAGUCUGAGAUAUGUCAGGAGAGGCAGUUAGAAGCCAGACCCCGUUGUGCUGUAUGCUCCCUGCUGAGUGUCCCAAAAGACAAUGGAGGCGUUAGUGAUAUUCUUACAGACGUUGAAGAUAUUCUUGAUAGAAGUAGGAUGAUCAAAAUUGUAUUUUUUUGUAGAUGAAAACUGUCAAAAGGAAUUGUUCAAGUACAAUUUUAAAUGGUAUCAGUUUCAUGAAUUAGGCAGACCUUCUUCCUCCACUUUUUUUCUUUUUCGUUUUGUAAGGUCUGUUGUGAUUAUUCAGAUGUAGAUAAUUCCCACACCUUUUCACUCCCUGUCCACUCUAUCCCUCACCUGUGAGAUAAUAGGUGAUAGUGGUUUAAUGGGAGUUAGAAAAGUAAAACCGAGCAGUGGAUUUGUUUGUAAAAGUUUAUUUAAUAUUACUAUGUU